GGCGCCUUCGGUGUCCGAGUUGUAAUUUGAAGAAGGUAACUUUGGUUUUGGCUCUUGUCUAUGUUCCUUGGAACAGGACGUCACAGAGGGUGAGAAUCCCGUGCGAUGAGAUGCCCAAUUCCAUGUAAAGUGCUUUCGAAGAGUCGAGUUGUUUGGGAAUGCAGCUCUAAGUGGGUGGUAAAUUCCAUCUAAAGCUAAAUAUUGGCGAGAGACCGAUAGCGAACAAGUACAGUGAUGGAAAGAUGAAAAGAACUUUGAAAAGAGAGUGAAAAAGUACGUGAAAUUGUUGAAAGGGAAGGGUUUGAGAUCAGACUUGGUAUUUUGUAUGUUUUACUCUCGGGUGAGGCCUCUGCAGUUUACUGGGCCAGCAUCAGUUUGGAUGGUAGGAUAAUGACAUUGGAAUGUGGCUCU
rnacentral:rRNA from 2 species